UCCCCCGACUGCGGCUGAC
rnacentral:miRNA from 1 species